GCAAAAGGUACCCAGGACCAGACGUGACCUAAUGACCAUUCUGACAACGGAAGUGACCUAAUCACCACGAGACCAUAGACAGCGCUCCUGUUGUCUCCUGAAAAAGCCUCGGAUUCGUGCAGCACAGGCUCACCUUAUCGA